GACGAACGCUGGCGGCGUGCUUAACACAUGCAAGUCGAACGGAAAGGCCCUGCUUUUGUGGGGUGCUCGAGUGGCGAACGGGUGAGUAACACGUGAGUAACCUGCCCUUGACUUUGGGAUAACUUCAGGAAACUGGGGCUAAUACCGGAUAGGAGCUCCUGCUGCAGGGUGGGGGCUGGAAAGUUUCGGCGGUUGGGGAUGGACUCGCGGCUUAUCAGCUUGUUGGUGGGGUAGUGGCUUACCAAGGCUUUGACGGGUAGCCGGCCUGAGAGGGUGACCGGCCACAUUGGUACUGAGAUACGGCCCAGACGCCUACGGGAGGCAGCAGUGGGGAAUAUUGCACAAUGGGCGGAAGCCUGAUGCAGCAACGCCGCGUGCGGGAUGACGGCCUUCGGGUUGUAAACCGCUUUCGCCUGUGACGAAGCGUGAGUGACGGUAAUGGGUAAAGAAGCACCGGCUAACUACGUG
rnacentral:rRNA from 1 species